CCUACGGGUGGCAGCAGUGGGGAAUAUUGGGCAAUGGGCGCAAGCCUGACCCAGCAACGCCGCGUGAAGGAAGAAGGCUUUCGGGUUGUAAACUUCUUUUAAGAGGGAAGAGCAGAAGACUGUAUGUCUUGAAUAAGCCACGGAUAACUACGUGCCAGCAGCCGCGGUAAUACGUAGGUGGCAAGCGUUAUCCGGAUUUACUGGGUGUAAAGGGCGUGCAGGCGGGAUGACAAGUCAGAUGUGAAAUCCCGGGGCUCAACCGCGGAACUGCAUUGGAAACUGUUUUUCUUGAGUACCGGAGAGGUAAGCGGAAUUCCUUGUGUAGCGGUGAAAUGCGUAGAUAUAAGGAAGAACACCAGUGGCGAAGGCGGAUGACUGGACGGUAACUGACGGUGAGGCGCGAAAGCGUGGGGAGCAAACAGGAUUAGAUACCCUUGUAGUC
rnacentral:rRNA from 1 species